rnacentral:rRNA from 1 species
GAAUAUUGGACAAUGGGCGAAAGCCUGAUCCAGCAAUGCCGCGUGAGUGAUGAAGGCCUUAGGGUUGUAAAGCUCUUUUACCAGGGAUGAUAAUGACAGUACCUGGAGAAUAAGCUCCGGCUAACUCCGUGCCAGCAGCCGCGGUAAUACGGAGGGAGCUAGCGUUGUUCGGGAUUACUGGGCGUAAAGCGCGCGUAGGCGGCUUUUCAAGUCAGGGGUGAAAUCCCGGGGCUCAACCCCGGAACUGCCCUUGAAACUGGAUGGCUAGAAUACUGGAGAGGUGAGUGGAAUUCCGAGUGUAGAGGUGAAAUUCGUAGAUAUUCGGAAGAACACCAGUGGCGAAGGCGACUCACUGGACAAUUAUUGACGCUGAGGUGCGAAAGCGUGGGGAGCAAACAGGA